rnacentral:rRNA from 1 species
UACAGAGGUCUCAAGCGUUGUUCGGAUUCAUUGGGCGUAAAGGGUGCGUAGGCGGCGCGGUAAGUCGGGUGUGAAAUCUCGGAGCUUAACUCCGAAACUGCAUUCGAUACUGCCGUGCUUGAGGACUGGAGAGGAGACUGGAAUUUACGGUGUAGCGGUGAAAUGCGUAGAUAUCGUAAGGAAGACCAGUGGCGAAGGCGGGUCUCUGGACAGUUCUUGACGCUGAGGCACGAAGGCCAGGGGAGCAAACAGG